CCUACGGGAGGCUGCAGUGGGGAAUAUUGCACAAUGGGCGCAAGCCUGAUGCAGCCAUGCCGCGUGUGUGAAGAAGGCCUUCGGGUUGUAAAGCACUUUCAGCGGGGAGGAAGGCGGUGAGGUUAAUAACCUCAUCGAUUGACGUUACCCGCAGAAGAAGCACCGGCUAACUCCGUGCCAGCAGCCGCGGUAAUACGGAGGGUGCAAGCGUUAAUCGGAAUUACUGGGCGUAAAGCGCACGCAGGCGGUCUGUCAAGUCGGAUGUGAAAUCCCCGGGCUCAACCUGGGAACUGCAUUCGAAACUGGCAGGCUAGAGUCUUGUAGAGGGGGGUAGAAGUCCAGGUGUAGCGGUGAAAUGCGUAGAGAUCUGGAGGAAUACCGGUGGCGAAGGCGGCCCCCUGGACAAAGACUGACGCUCAGGUGCGAAAGCGUGGGGAGCAAACAGGAUUAGAUACCCCAGUAGUC
rnacentral:rRNA from 1 species